GAUGAACGCUGGCGGCGUGCUUAACACAUGCAAGUCGAACGGAAAGGCGAGGCGCUUGUGGGGUGCUCGAGUGGGGAACGGGGGAGUAAAACGUGUGUAACAUGCACCUGUCAUUGGGAUAACUUCAGGAAAAUGGGGAGAAUACAGCGUAGGAGCUCCUGCUGCGUGGGGGGGGAUGGAGAGUUUCGGCGGUGGGGGAUGGACUGGCGGCUUAUCAGCUUGUUGGUGGGGUAGUGGAGUACCAAGGCUUUGACGGGUAGCCGGCCUGAGAGGGUGACCGGCGACAAUGGGCCUGCGGUACGCCCCAGACGCCUACGGGAGGCAGCAGUGGGGAGUAUUGCGCAGUGGGCCGACGCGUGAUGCAGCGAUGCCGCGUGCGGGAUGCCGGCUUUCGGGUUGUAAACCGCUUUCGCCUGUGACGAAGCGGGAGUGACGGUACUGGGUCAAGAAGCACCGGCUAACUACGUG
rnacentral:rRNA from 1 species